rnacentral:rRNA from 1 species
GGCAUGCCUAACACAUGCAAGUCGAACGCUUCGGCCUUAGUGGNGCACGGGUGCGUAACGCGUGGGAAUCUGCCCUCAGGUUCGGAAUAACAGCGAGAAAUUGCUGCUAAUACCGGAUGAUAUCGCGAGAUCAAAGAUUUAUCGCCUGAGGAUGAGCCCGCGUAGGAUUAGCUAGUUGGUGUGGUAAAGGCGCACCAAGGCGACGAUCCUUAGCUGGUCUGAGAGGAUGAUCAGCCACACUGGGACUGAGACACGGCCCAGACUCCUACGGGAGGCAGCAGUGGGGAAUAUUGGACAAUGGGCGAAAGCCUGAUCCAGCAAUGCCGCGUGAGUGAUGAAGGCCUUAGGGUUGUAAAGCUCUUUUACCCGGGAUGAUA